rnacentral:rRNA from 1 species
GGGCGGCACCGUGACGGUACCUAACGAGAAAGCCACGGCUAACUACGUGCCAGCAGCCGCGGUAAUACGUAGGUCGCAAGCGUUGUCCGGAAUUAUUGGGCGUAAAGCGCGCGCAGGCGGUCCUUUAAGUCUGAUGUGAAAGCCCACGGCUCAACCGUGGAGGGUCAUUGGAAACUGGGGGACUUGAGUGCAGAAGAGGGGAGCGGAAUUCCACGUGUAGCGGUGAAAUGCGUAGAGAUGUGGAGGAACACCAGUGGCGAAGGCGGCUCUCUGGUCUGUAACUGACGCUGAGGCGCGAAAGCGUGGGGAGCAAACAGGAUUAGAUACCCUGGUAGUCCACGCCGUUAAACGAUGAGUGCUAAGUGUUAGAGGGGUUAAUCCCUUUAGUGCUGUAGCUAACGCAUUAAGCACUCCGCCUGGGGAGUACGCUCGCAAGAGUGAAACUCAAAUGAAUUGACGGA